rnacentral:rRNA from 1 species
AACGAACGCUGGCGGCAUGCCUAACACAUGCAAGUCGAACGAGACCUUCGGGUCUAGUGGCGCACGGGUGCGUAACGCGUGGGAAUCUGCCCUUGGGUUCGGAAUAACAGUUAGAAAUGACUGCUAAUACCGGAUAAUGUCUUCGGACCAAAGAUUUAUCGCCCAGGGAUGAGCCCGCGUAGGAUUAGCUAGUUGGUGAGGUAAAGGCUCACCAAGGCGACGAUCCUUAGCUGGUCUGAGAGGAUGAUCAGCCACACUGGGACUGAGACACGGCCCAGACUCCUACGGGAGGCAGCAGUGGGGAAUAUUGGACAAUGGGCGAAAGCCUGAUCCAGCAAUGCCGCGUGAGUGAUGAAGGCCUUAGGGUUGUAAAGCUCUUUUACCCGGGAAGAUAAUGACUGUACCGGGAGAAUAAGCCCCGGCUAACUCCGUGCCAGCAGCCGCGGUAAU